ACAAUGUCGCUGCAACGGGAGCGCUGAUUCCAGUGGAGGAGGCCAUCGACCCGGAUGUCACCGAACUGCUUGAGGAGAGGGAGGGUGAGAAUGAGGAUGAGGAGAGGGAGGUGCCACCGGGGACCUUGGAGCAUGAGAAUGAGGAGAGCGAGGUGCCACCGGGGACCGUGGAAGAUGACGAUGAGGAGAGCGGGACCUCGGAGGACGAGGAUUCAGAGCUGGAGGACGAUUUUGUUAUCAUUGCAAAUCAGCCCGAGGAGGAAGACCAGAUGGAUCUGGAGGAUGAUUUUG
rnacentral:lncRNA from 1 species